rnacentral:rRNA from 1 species
CCUACGGGAGGCAGCAGUGAGGAAUAUUGGUCAAUGGGCGCGAGCCUGAACCAGCCAAGUAGCGUGAAGGAUGACUGCCCUACGGGUUGUAAACUUCUUUUAUAAAGGAAUAAAGUGAGGCACGUGUGCCUUUUUGUAUGUACUUUAUGAAUACGGAUCGGCUAACUCCGUGCCAGCAGCCGCGGUAAUACGGAGGAUCCGAGCGUUAUCCGGAUUUAUUGGGUUUAAAGGGAGCGUAGAUGGGUUGUUAAGUCAGUUGUGAAAGUUUGCGGCUAAACCGUAAAAUUGCAAUUGAUACUGGAAGUCUUGAGUACAGGUGAGGUAGGCGGAAUUCGUGGUGUAGCGGUGAAAUGCGUAGAUAUCACGAAGAACUCCGAUGGCGAAGGCAGCUUACUAAACUGCCACUGACAUUGAUGCUCGAAGGUGUGGGUAGCAAACAGGAUGAGAUACCCGGGUAGUC